GCCUGGGUGGCUCAGUUGGUUAAGCAUCUGACUUUGGCUCAGGUCAUGAUCUCACGGUUCAUGGGUUCGAGUCCCGUAUUGGGCU
rnacentral:tRNA from 1 species